rnacentral:rRNA from 1 species
GAUGAACGCUGGCGGCGUGCCUAAUACAUGCAAGUCGAGCGAACGGACGAGAAGCUUGCUUCUCUGAUGUUAGCGGCGGACGGGUGAGUAACACGUGGAUAACCUACCUAUAAGACUGGGAUAACUUCGGGAAACCGGAGCUAAUACCGGAUGAUAUUUUGAACCGCAUGGUUCAAUAGUGAAAGACGGUCUUGCUGUCACUUAUAGAUGGAUCCGCGCUGCAUUAGCUAGUUGGUAAGGUAACGGCUUACCAAGGCAACGAUGCGUAGCCGACCUGAGAGGGUGAUCGGCCACACUGGAACUGAGACACGGUCCAGACUCCUACGGGAGGCAGCAGUAGGGAAUCUUCCGCAAUGGGCGAAAGCCUGACGGAGCAACGCCGCGUGAGUGAUGAAGGUCUUCGGAUCGUAAAACUCUGUUAUUAGGGAAGAACAAAUGUGUAAGUAACUGUGCACAUCUUGACGGUACCUAAUCAGAAAGCCACGGCUAACUACGUG